UGGGGAAUCUUGGACAAUGGGGGAAACCCUGAUCCAGCAAUGCCGCGUGUGUGAAGAAGGCCUGAGGGUUGUAAAGCACUUUUAGUAAUCAAGAGGACUAUCUUCGGAUAGUUGGACUAGUUACAGAAACAGCACCGGCUAACUCUGUGCCAGCAGCCGCGGUAAUACAGAGGGUGCGAGCGUUAAUCGGAAUUACUGGGCGUAAAGAGCGCGUAGGCGGUUUUAUAAGUCAGAUGUGAAAGACCCGGGCUUAACCUGGGAAUUGCAUUUGAUACUGUAAGACUAGAGUAUGGUAGAGGAAAGUGGAAUUUCCGGUGUAGCGGUGAAAUGCGUAGAUACCGGAAGGAACACCAGUGGCGAAGGCGACUUUCUGGACCAAUACUGACGCUGAGGCGCGAAAGCGUGGGGAGCAAACA
rnacentral:rRNA from 1 species